UACGUAGGGUGCGAGCGUUGUCCGGAAUUAUUGGGCGUAAAGAGCUUGUAGGCGGUCUGUCGCGUCUGCUGUGAAAAUCCGGGGCUCAACCCAGAGACGCCACCCGAUACUGCCGUGACUUGAGUCUGGUAGGGGAGUGUGGAAUUCCUAGUGUAGCGGUGAAAUGCGCAGAUAUUAGGAGGAACACCAGUGGCGAAGGCGGCACUCUGGGCCAGUACUGACACUGAGGAGCGAAAGCGUGGGUAGCGAACAGG
rnacentral:rRNA from 1 species